AACAAGGAUUAGAUACCCUGGUAGUCCACGCCGUAAAACGAUGUCUACUAGCUGUUCGUGGUCUUGUACUGUGAGUAGCGCAGCUAAACGCACUAAGUAGACCGCCUGGGGAGUACGGUCGCAAGAUUAAAACUCAAAAUGAAUUGACGGGGGCCCGCACAAGCGGUGGAGCAUGUGGUUUAAUUCGACGCAACGCGAAGAACCUUACCUACUCUUGACAUCUACGGAAGUUGGCGGAGAUGCUGAUGUGCCUUCGGGAACCGUAAGACAGGUGCUGCAUGGCUGUCGUCAGCUCGUGUUGUGAAAUGUUGGGUUAAGUCCCGCAACGAGCGCAACCCCUAUCCUUAGUUGCCAGCACGUAAUGGUGGGAACUCUAGGGAGACUGCCGGUGAUAAACCGGAGGAAGGUGGGGACAACGUCAAGUCAUCAUGGCCCUUACGAGUAGGGCUACACACGUGCUACAAUGGUACGUACAGAGGGAGGCAAGCUGGCGACAGUGAGCGGAUCUCUUAAAGCGUAUCGUAGUCCGGAUCGCAGUCUGCAACUCGACUGCGUGAAGUCGGAAUCGCUAGUAAUCGCAAAUCAGAAUGUUGCGGUGAAUACGUUCCCGGGCCUUGUACACACCGCCCGUCACACCAUGGGAGUGGGUUGCAAAAGAAGUAGGUAGCUUAACCUUCGGGAGGGCGCUUACCACUUUGUGAUUCAUGACUGGGGUGAAGUCGUAACAAGGUAACC
rnacentral:rRNA from 1 species